ensembl:lncRNA MIR3976HG MIR3976 host gene
ACUGUCAUUAUUAUGUCACAUAAGAUUAUGACUUCUAUCUUGCUAGUAGACCCUCUCCAUUAACUCUCUCUCUUUCUGAUUGAGUGUAAGCUGCUAUAUGAAGGGAUCCACAAGACGAAUAAUUAAGGGGGACCUCUGAUCAACAGCCAGCAAGGAACUGAAUCCCUCAGACCCACAACUCACAAGAAACUGAAGCUGAAGCAGAUUCUUCCUCAGUCAAGCUUCAGAAAGAAAUCAUGAGUGACCACUCAGCUCAAGGCUUCUCUGCUGAUGCCAUCCAGUGAGUUUCCUGGCAGCCAUCUUUUUAUGAAAGAAUAGAGGUCAGCCUGACUGCACUUCCAGAUGAUUAGAGGUGCCCAGCUGUAUUGGUAGAGGAGACCAACCACACCCUCCACAGCACAGCACCUGGAGAGGAACUGCUGCCAUGACCAUAGAGGACACCCUCUGGAUACAAUGCCAGACUUGAUGUGGGACUGACCAACCUAUGGACCCCAGGCACCACCACCCAGACCUGCUCAGCACCUGAAACAUUCACAGCCGUGGAGAGAGAACUGUUCACUGCUACCAUCCACACUUCUGGGCCCCUUCAGCAGCAGGGUGACAAGGAAGAGGGAAAUCGACUUGGAAAAGAGGGGACCUCUGACCCAAGAGUUCGGUCAAUGCAUAUGUUGGCAGCCAGCUGCACAUCGCACCAAAUAUGAACUUCAAAUAGAAGAAAGCCUCAUUUGGAAGAAAGCUCAUGCACAGACUGUAAAUAUUUCAGAGCAGAUUGUGUCUCUGUAGAUUAACAUCAAUUUUGCAGCAGCCAUGGCUUGUCCUAUGAGAGAUGAUUCUACCACAAGAACCCAACCACAAGGACGGCUCCUCUUUGAAGUUUUUACAGUCGAUCUCUGGAUCAGCCAGCGAAGUCCUGCUCCCAGGAUCCAGGGAGAGACCAUGGGUGCCCUCUAGGGCAUGGUACAAAGGGAGGAUUUGUUCCAGUAGAGAAUAGAAUAGGCCUUUUCUUUCACCUUUUGGUUUCCAGGUGCUGAACUACAUGUAGGAGUCUUGGUAGUAAAACCAAGCUUAAUGGUUAUUGAAAUAGAACUACCAGAGAGGUGGUAGAAGCACAUGUUUUGUACAAGUUGGUUAACUGCCAGCAGCUUUGAAUCGUGUAACUGCUUACAAAAAAUUUCACAUGGUCCAGGAAUAAGAGGAAACAAAUGUAUGAAAAACAAAUUCCCAGAUACUUACAUUUAAAAUAAAAAGCAAACUAACAAUAA